UCCUGGUUAACCCAGGCAGUCUCAUUAGAGUUCCCAACUUUACUUGCUGGCAACUAAUGACAAGGGUUGCGCUCGUUGCGGGACUUAACCCAACACCUCACGGCACGAGCUGACGACAGCCAUGCAGCACCUGUGCUCGCUCCCCUUACGAGGUCAUCCCCGUUUCCGGUGUAUGUCAAGCCUUGGUAAGGUUCUUCGCGUUGCGUCGAAUUAAGCCACAUGCUCCGCUGCUUGUGCGGGCCCCCGUCAAUUCCUUUGAGUUUCAGUCUUGCGACCGUACUCCCCAGGCGGAGUGCUUAAUGUGUUGACUUCGGCACAGCAGGGGUCGAUACCCGCUACACCAAGCACUCAUCGUUUACGGCGUGGACUAC
rnacentral:misc_RNA from 1 species